UGCUGCCUCGUGAAGAAAGUGUCUGCUUUUCCUUUGCCUUCCGCCAUGAUUGUAGGUUUCCUGAGACCUCCCCAGCCUUUCAGAAGUGGAUCACAUCAGAAGAUAUCUUGAAACAGCCAGCUGCUUGUACCUGUAAUUAACCUUAGAAUCAUUGAAUGCCACAGCGGCACAUGCAUGCUGACAGAUUCCUUGUACGAGCCACAUCACACGCAAAGACACAGUUUUUCCAAAGGAGAAACUCUUGAUACAUUCCUGAAGAUAGCAAGAAUGGGUGAAGAUGACUAUCAUGAACUUGGACUUGAUUCACUGAAGGUGGCCUCUAUUCAUUUCUAUCAGAUUUUGCUUCAAAAAUUUUGCACCUUUGUUACUAGGUACAUAAACAUCUGAGGUGUUUAUUGGAGCUCUUUUCCUAGAACUGAUAAUUGGAUUCAAGGUAUUCUGGAGAACAAGAACUCUACCUAGAGGAAAACAGACGAGUGAAUUGACCUCUAGACAUUUUUUUUUCUGCUGAAACCGAAACAGGCUGAGGAAGAAUAAGAGACUUGCUAGAGAAGUGACCCAUUUUAAAGAUUAACGAAAAUGAAGAUUGCCUCUAGAAUGAAAAUAAGUAUCUCUGCAAAAUCAGGCCAGGGACAUGGAUGAAGCUGGAAACCAUCAUUCUCAGCAAACUAUCACAAGGACAAAAAUCCAAACACCGCAUGUUCUCACUCAUAGGUGGGAAUUGAACAAUGAGAACACAUGGACACAGGAAGGGGAACA